UGGUCUUGAAACUCAAAAAUUUUGGCGGUGUUUUAGUCUAUUCAGAGGAACCUGUACAAUAAUCGAUAAUCCACGUUGGACCUUUCUUAACUUUGUUUAUUCAGUUUGUAUACCGCCGUUAUUUGAAAAUUUUAUAAGAAUUAUAAUUUUCAUAAUUUUUCAUGGGAAAGUAAAUCAGGUCAAGGUGCAGCUUAUAGUUAAGUUGAUUUAUGGGUUACAAUAAAUUUUAUUUAUAAAUGGAUAUAGAAUAGCAUUUUUUUAUUGAAGGUGGAUUUGAUAGUAAAUUUUUAAAGAUUAAAAUUUUGAUUUUAGCUCUAAAAUAUGUACAUAUCGCCCGUCGCUCUUGUUAAUAAUAUAAGAUAAGUCGUAACAAAGUAGAUGUACCGGAAGGUGUAUCUAGAAUGACAAUUUAAAGCUUUUUGAAAAGCAUUUCAUUUACACUGAGAAGAUUAUUGUGCAAUUCAAUGUAAAUUGAUUAUUAUAUAAUUAUUUUAUUUUUUUUUAAAAAAAAAAUAAAAAAAAUAAUUAUUAUGUUCGUAAACGUUAGAGUAAUUUAUAAAAAAAUAAUUAUGUUAAUUAUAGUUAAUUAGUACAUUAAUGGAAUUUUGAAAUAAU
rnacentral:rRNA from 1 species